UUGAACCUCACUCCAAUAAGUCUCACCACCGUUUCUAUUUUGCCAUCCCCUGCUUCUGAGAGAGAUGGUUAAACCACCAUCACCACCACCAGCUGUGCCACCACCUCCACCGGCAGAUGCACCAGCGGGCAGACCUAAUGGGUGCCUAAUGCCAUGGUUGUGGUUUCUCUGUUGCUGCGGUCUCCUUACAAGCUGCUGUCCAGAAACUUUGCCACGAGGACCCCCACCUGCUCUUUGACAACUUAAUUUUAAUUCUUGUAGAGAUUAAAGAAAAUUUUCCCUUUUUGUUACAAUAUUUCAAGUGAAAACAACAGAAUGAUCCAUCAAA